GACGAACCGUGCGAACGUUGUUCGGAAUCACUGGGCUUAAAGGGCGCGUAGGCGGUCGACCAAGUCUGGGGUGAAAUCUUUCGGCUUAACCGGAAAAGUGCCCCCGAUACUGGCCGGCUAGAGGGAGAUAGGGGCAUGUGGAACUUCCGGUGGAGCGGUGAAAUGCGUAGAUAUCGGAAGGAACGCCGGUGGCGAAAGCGACGUGCUGGAUCUCUUCUGACGCUGAGGCGCGAAAGCUAGGGGAGCAAACAGG
rnacentral:rRNA from 1 species